rnacentral:rRNA from 1 species
UACGGGGGGAGCAAGCGUUGUUCGGAUUUACUGGGCGUAAAGGGCGCGUAGGCGGUCAGCACAAGUCAGUUGUGAAAUCUCCGGGCUUAACUCGGAAAGGUCAACUGAUACUGUGCGACUAGAGUGCGGAAGGGGCAACUGGAAUUCUCGGUGUAGCGGUGAAAUGCGUAGAUAUCGGGAAGAAUACCCGUGGCGAAGGCGGCCGACUGGGCCGUCUCCGACGCUGAUGCGCGAAAGCGUGGGGAGCAAACAGG